CCCAACUCAAAACUGUAUUAAGCAUAGGAUUUGACACGCUCUUACAUAAUGCACUAGCAAGAAUUAAAAAUCAACAAAUAUCCAAAAUCACAAAAUAAUGAUCACAAUCAAAAGCCUCUAGCAAAGUAAAUGCAAAGUUAAAUAAUAAGACAAGUGUGCUUAUGCGUAUAUAUGUAUCUUAUUAGUUUUACAUAAUAAAACAAUAGUCUGAUUAUUUUAAGUUUCUAUCUAAGCUGAGGAUCAUCGUAGUUUAGAAGCCACUACUUCGAAUUCUACUCCACAAUUUUUGACCUGAGAAAAUUGCCUCUAAUUCCUUGAUAAUGCUCUUCCAAAUUAAAAAGUAAUGGGUGUAGUUGUUCACUUUUAUUUUAUCAUUCCAAGCCAGGCCUGCCAUGUCAAUGUGCAUCCACUAAACCUUCUCAUCAACAAACUACAGAAAAAAUAAAUACAUGUCAGACAAUACAUCAUCGAGAGAUUUGAGUUCACUAUGAAUCAAUUGAUUCUAUGUCUUUAUGCGAUAUAAAAGAAGGAUUAUGCAUUGGUGAUAGGUUAACGGCAUCUCUAUGGAAUAAGAGUAUGAAAUUUUCAUGUCAUCAGGAGCUCAAACCUUAUUAGAUUUUGAGGAAAUAUUUGAUUUUGUAUCUAUAGAUGAUGAGUUUGAUUUAUGUUCAUGAUUUAUGUCAAGUAUAUUUUUAUUUGAAAGAGUUGAAAUUGAAGUUAUGUUCUCAUUAUUUUUAGAUGAUACAAAAUUAAAGAAAGAGAACGCCAUAUGAAGAUAUCUUAAUUGUUGGGCCUAGGUCCAAUCUAUUCUGGAUAUAAAUGCUUUUAAUAUAUAGUUGAUGCAUUUUAUUUAUGACAAAACUAUUAUUUAAUUGAAUUAAUAUUCUAAUAAAUUAAAUAAUAGAUUUCAUAGAUCAAGACUUGGCAAUUUGUUAAUCACAAAGAGUUGUAAUUAUAAUAUACAAAUUACGACUCUUAAAUCAUCUGUGUUCAAAAGUAAUAACAAAACAUGGAUAUCA
rnacentral:lncRNA from 1 species